rnacentral:lncRNA from 1 species
GGAGGAGCGGGGACGCCGGCGGGAGCAGUGGGUGCGGCGGCGGGGAGGGCGGAGGGUGCGGCAGCGUCGAGGAAUGGAACAGGAGAAGCAGAAACGGAUCGAGACGGGUGGGUGCGGAGGGGUGUAGGGGGAAGGGGUGAGGGGGUCACGGACAAGUCAUAAAGGAGGGUAGGGGGUGUCCAUGGUACACUUUAGUCCCCCGUAAGCAACUCCUUAGGGACUAAAGGGCUAAACUUUAGGGACUAAAGUUUAGUCCCUAUAAGCAAGCCUGUUUGGCAUUUUAGGGACUAAAAAUGACUAAACUAUAGUCCCUGAAGUUUAGCAAGGCAAAACUAAACAGGACCUAAAUAUAUAUAGGUAAUUACAGAACCAAUUGCAUAAAUGAAGGCUAAUUCGCGAGACAAAUCUAUUAAGCCUAAUUAAUCCAAUUUGAUUAAUUAGGCUUAAUAGAUUCAUCUCGUGAAUUAGCCAUGACUUAUACAAUUAGUUUUAUAAUUAGUUCACGUUUAAUCCUUCUAAUUGGUAUCCAAACAUCCGAUGUGACCCAAACUAAAAAUUAGUCCAUGGAUCCAAACACCACCUUAGUUGUCUAGAAAUCAAGGCCCUAAGCAAAUCCCUACCGUUGAUGAUACCUUUGUGGAAAGUGUGGUCUGAUGGCGUCACUUAUCUAACAUUUAUUUGGCGACAAAAAGGAUUGAGAGGUCAAUCUUCUAUAAUCAAUCUCUGUUUGGUUUGCCCUUGCUUAUCUUUAGGGACUAAACUUCCCUCCAGUCAGGGACUAAAGUUUAGUCCCCCUGUUUGGUUCUAGUGACUAAAGGGCAUUAAAUGAGUUGAACGAUGACCAACUUACCCCUAAUCAUUGCUGCGCCUGCCUUUUUCCUUCUCUGCCUUCCCACGCAGAUACGCACAGCACACGCGUGAGCAGCGGCGUGGGGGUACGGAGGCAGCACAGGGGUACGAUGGUGACCCGACAAACGGUGGCGCAGGGGUAGCAUGGCGGGGGCCAGCAACAGGGCGGGUGUCGGGAGGGCGGGAGUGGCUGGCGGGCAGCCGGGAGCGGCGGGGACCGGUGGCGGGGCGGGUGGCCGGGAGGCGGCGGGGCGGGUGCUGUAACACCCAUUGUUAUUAAAAGCCUAAGAAAGUAAUUUAGAGGUUAAUGAUGAAAUUUAAAUGCAACGGAGGUAUUAUGGACCAAAGUCACAUUUGACCAAAGAUUCAAAUUCAAGAUUUAAAAAUUCAAAGGACUCCCACAACCAAGAGUUGGGCGACAACUUGAUAAAUGGAAUCUUUAAUCUAUGGUUAACCAUUCCAGAAGGUCUUGACCCAAGAAACAUGAAUUUAAAUUCCCGAAUUAGAACUCAAAGAGGGGAACAAGUUACUAUCGCGCUAUCUGCCGAGAACUGAAGGGCAGAGCACCCGGGGUGUUAAAAACACUCAAGAAUGGCCAAGAACAGGAUAUGACAAAGAUUUGAGAGUUAAUGAGCUUUUAUGGCCAAAGUCAACUUUUGGUCAAAUUUUAGCCAAAAAUACCAAAUAAGAGCUUCAAUUUCAGAAAAAGUUGACAAAUGCAUGAAUUUGGACCUUAUGGACAUUUGGAACUUAAAGAGGCCAUUUGAGAAAUAAAUGGACCUUAAAUUGUCCAAAAAUCAGAAAUGGAGGAUGUUACUGUUCACUAACUGGAUAUAGGCAUAAAUGCCUUUGAAAAACAGUACUAAAUGGAAUGAACUUUGAUUCAAGAGAUUUUGGAGAAAUGCUAUAUGAGCCUUUAGUUUUAUGGGGAAAAUGGAACUUUCAUGUCAAGCUUAGCAUGAUCUCCAAGUUUGGCAUGAAACAAAUGGCAUUUGAAGUGUUAAAUGGAAAUUCAAAGUUAAAUGGGGGAUUUUGGUACUUCUAUCGAGAUUGAAGCCAUUCAGUGCAAUUUCAAUUCAGUGAAAAGCAAGAAUUGGCAGCCAGCUUCAGGACCAACUUUGGAAGGGAAAAAGAGAGAUUUAGCUUUUGAGAUGAAUAAUAGAAAUGUAGAGAAAUAGGUUCUCUAUAACUUCUAUAAAGGAAAUUUUGAGAGUUUAAGUGAAAACAAUGGAGUAAACACAAUCUGAACCCCUUCAGCUCAGAAAAAUUGACAAUUCUGUCAAUACUGGAGGAUGAACAGUAACAGUUGGUUUUGGAAGCAAAUUUCAAACCCUUAGAGUAAAAAUCAGAAGAAGCUCCAAAUGUAUCAAAGAUAGUCACAAAUAUUUCCUAUAACUUUGUUUAAGGGCUCUAAGCAAGCCUCUGAUUGAAUUUUAGCCACAAAAAUCGACCUGAAGAUAAUCUGUCAAAGGCUUAGCUGUUGAAAGGAGGAAAAGUAACAGUCAGGUUCAAAAGGAAAUUCCCCUCGAUUGGUUGGGAAUCUGAAGGAGGCAUAGUAAGAUGAAUUGAAAUUCAGCAAAUUUCCUACAGCUUUCAUAAAGGGACUUUUGAAAGAUCAGUUUGGAUUUUUAUCGUAAUUGGCCGUUGAAGUUUUUGACAGCAAGGUUCAAAAAGAGAAAAUUUAGUUAAGCUGAAGUUCAAUGUCCAGAAAAGUUCAGAGACGUUUAUCACGUGGAAGGAGCGAGGUUCAGCCAAAAGUGCACAUCUAUGAAAGGUAGAACUUUGGAUUUCCUCCAACUUCAAUAAAGGGAGUUUUGGAUGUGUUGUUGGCCAGAGAAACUGGAGGAUUCAAAUUUAAAAUGAAGCUCAAAGUAGGCAAGAUGAGCAGAUUUCAGCCUCAUUGCUGAAAUAAGUUCUAAGUCUGAAAAACAGUGAUGAUUAGCAGUUUUUGGCGCAAGUUUCUGAAAAAUCUAGCGUGAAAGGCAUAUGAGUUCUUGUGCAAAAUGGAACCCUCGUUAGUUGUAGAACAAAGAUAGAUAAGGGUUGAGCGGUACAACACAGGAUUGAGUAUUUAAAAUUGAGCUAAAAGAAGGGCAAAGGUUCCUGUCAUAAUACCUGACGAAACGGAAUCAAAGGAUUCAGUUACAGUUCAUUUUUGCUCAAACUUGGGGCUUAAAAAUCAGGGUCUUAGAGUGAAUAUUUAGACUUGGGACCAAUCUAUCAAAUGAAGUGCAUGGAUUCCUAUACAAGUUUGUUUAAAGGAGAUUCGAAAGUUUGGUUUAAAAAUUCGAUGAAAAAUGGGCCUGAACAUGUCGGUUGGGAGGAAGAAGAAAAGAGAAACAACAUAACAGAGGAGGAGUCGUGCCGUCGCCGGCACUCUCGUCUGCCGACCAGCGCGACGGACACGUCCGCGCCACACUACCUGCCACGGGCCGAGGUGGACGGCAUGCACGCGGUGAAAACUUGUAUAUUUACGCUCCCGCGCCUAUCGGUUUAACCCUGCCGUCUUUUUCACCACCGUCGCGAGCAGAAGCUCGAGCGAGCAGCGCCGCCGCCGGCCAACACCCACACCGCUGUUUUCCUUCGCGUUUCCACCGCCUGAAGCCUUGACAGCCCCACCGCGAUGCCCCACGCCCAACCGUUGCUCAGUUCCCCGCCGGCGAGCUCCUAAUCGCUGUCGUUUUUGUCCGCCCGCUGCCAUCACCACCAUCCUCUCGGUGAGCUCCUCUGUGCCGCCCUUUCCCUUCAAUUUCUGGGUCUUUGGAACAUAGAUAGGCCUUGUAGAGGCCGUAGGGUGCUGCCGUCAGUCGUUUUGCGCUGCCGCCGGGCCUAGAGCCGGCCGGCCACCGGCCAUGGUGCCGCCGCCCGUGGAGGGGCCGGCUCAGGCCGCCUCCAGGGGGGCCGCUGCCACCCGUGGGUGCGCUGUGGCCUGGGGAUGCCUCCCAGCCCGGCCAUGCCGCCGGGGAGGCCGCUGCCGGCGAGUCCCCACCCCAACCCGGCGUGCCCUGUCCCUGGCGUGAGGAAGAAGGAGAGCCUGCCGCUAGGGCCCCACCUGUCAGCGACUUGGGAUAGGAGAGGCCGGUUUGAAUAGGAUUUUAGGAGAGAGAGGGGGGCCGGUCAGUCGCAGAGGGUAGAUAGGGGGUGAGCGGGAAAGGUUUUUCCGGGGGGUUUGGAUAAUCAUUUUUCUUUUGCAAAUAAAUAGUUUAAAUUAUUUUAUCACCAUUUAAUUCAUUAGAAAUGGUAGAAAUGUCCAAAAAUAGUGAAAUCAAUUUUAUUAGGAUUGUUUUAUUUUCCUUUAUGCGUUAAAAUUCUUAAAUCCUAGAAAAAUAAUAAAAUUUAGGUAUUUAUUUAAUACCUUUGGAUUAAGGUAUUUAAAUAAAUGCUUAACCUUUAUUAAAUACAUAAAAUUUUGAAUAAUGCUUUCUUAUUCAUAAAUUAUUAUUAAAUCAUAGGAAUUAAGUUUUGAGAUUAGAAAAUAAUUAUAAUGCUUUUCAAAAAUAAAAGAAAAAGGUUUAAGUUUGGUUAGUAAAGAAAUCUAAAAUUGUGGGUUAAUCUUAUGGGUAGUUUAGUGUUGGCUUGCAACUUUAUCAUGAAGAUAGGUUGUACAGUCACUUGUGGGCUUGGAAUUUUAUCACGAAGGAAAGUUGUAUAGUCAUGUGUUCAAAGUUUGCAUCUCUUAUUCCUGCAUGUACUAAAUCGUAGACACUGAAGCUUCAGAAGUGGAACUCUUGAAAUUAUCUGAAGAAUCUUCGGAGUUUGAGGAGGUUAUCGAGUUGAUCC